UGGGGAAUUUUGGACAAUGGGCGCAAGCCUGAUCCAGCCAUGCCGCGUGCAGGAUGAAGGCCUUCGGGUUGUAAACUGCUUUUGUACGGAACGAAAAGACUCUGGUUAAUACCUGGGGUCCAUGACGGUACCGUAAGAAUAAGCACCGGCUAACUACGUGCCAGCAGCCGCGGUAAUACGUAGGGUGCGAGCGUUAAUCGGAAUUACUGGGCGUAAAGCGCGCGCAGGCGGUGAUGUAAGACAGGUGUGAAAUCCCCGGGCUUAACCAGGGAAUGGCAUUUGUGACUGCAUCGCUGGAGUACGGCAGAGGGGGAUGGAAUUCCGCGUGUAGCAGUGAAAUGCGUAGAUAUGCGGAGGAACACCGAUGGCGAAGGCAAUCCCCUGGACCUGUACUGACGCUCAUGCACGAAAGCGUGGGGAGCAAACA
rnacentral:rRNA from 1 species